UACGUAGGGGGCAAGCGUUGUCCGGAUUUAUUGGGCGUAAAGCGCUCGCAGGUGGUCCGAUGCGUCGUGCGUGAAAGACCCCGGCUCAACUGGGGGGUGUCGUGCGAUACGGGCGGACUGGAGGCCAGUAGGGGGAUGCGGAAUUCCGGGUGUAGUGGUGGAAUGCGUAGAGAUCCGGAGGAACACCAGCGGCGAAGGCGGCAUCCUGGACUGGUCCUGACACUCAUGAGCGAAAGCGUGGGGAGCGAUCCGG
rnacentral:rRNA from 1 species